GCUCAAGGGCCAUGUCCUACAUGAAGCCCAAACUGAUCUCUCUAGUUAUGACAGCUCUCCUCUCACACACACCAAAAUGACUUCAUUUUUAUGGAAAGGGGAAUGCCCCAGUGAAACUUCGUGACAAGAGCUGAAGAGGACACAUUGAGAGAUAACAGGAGUAAAAGAGAUGUGUGUCCACGAUGGCCAGUGAGAGACGCCGGAUCAGAAAAACGGAAGGCACAUUGGCACUAUUGGCAGGAAAAAUCCCAAACAGGCUCUCCAAGAGCAUCAGAGCGUUCUGCAGACUUCCUUCUAGCCCCUUUCCUCACUCUCUGACGUGUGAGAUUUAACUACUGUCUUCAGUGAUCCAGGCACUCACAACAGAAGAAACUGGCAAAGAGAAAGUUCUGUGUGUGUUUGUGUGUUUGUACUAAGAAAAAAAAAACUGGAGGAAUGUUUCUUAAAGGAGGGUGGGGAGGGGGAGGAGUUCAAAACCACAAAGAGCAGGAAGUGUCACAGGCUUCCCCUCACUGUGACAUUAUGGAAGCCAAUCAGCAUCUACUGGUCCUGGCUGAGGCUUUAUGAAAAGUGACACACACAGAAAAGCCAGCAAUGGAGCGCUUUCCCAAUGGUAAUCGAUCUAAAAGAAUUCAACAAGAAUUUGAAAAAAUACUUUCUUAUAUGGGAUGGAUCUCAGAUACCUUGGGAAAUUGAGAUGAUGCAAAAAGAAAGAUAUUAAUUUAAUAUAUUUUUUAAAAAGUUAAAAAAAAAUUGACUAAGAGCCAACUAUAUGUCAGGCACUGUGCUAGGCUUUGGGGACAAAGAAAAAAAAAGGGACAGUCCUUGCCUUCAAUACCAAGGAAGCAGCUGCUCCAAUUUGUUUUGAGAGGAGCACCAACAACAGUGUGAGGGGUUUUGCCUUCCUCUACAGCAGAGCAGAUGGAGGAGGGGGGAGGAGGGCAAGAGGGAAACAGAACUCCUUUUGAAAUCCCUUGGAUUUUCCUUGCAUUACUGUAAAGCCAAGAAUUGAGUUUUUUCCUUAAUGCUUUUCACCAUGUC
rnacentral:lncRNA from 1 species